UUUGUAGAGAUGGGGGUCUCAUUAUGUUGCACAGUCUGGCCUUGAACUCUUGGCUUCAAGCAAUCCUCCCACCUCAGCCUCCCAAAGUGCUGAGAUUACAGGCACCAGCUACCCUGCCUGGCCCAGGCUGUCUUCUUAGACAUGCUGAGCACCCUGAGUGGACCUGGCCCUGAAACUGCCCCCAGGGGUGACCCUAGUCCUGGUGGCAGACAGGCAAGGGUUAAAAGGUGUGGGCCGGCCCAGUUCCUGGCCAGGUAGGCUGGGCCAUUACCUAGUGGGAGGUGGCCAAGGCAUCUGCCACUGCUGCUGACUGCCACUACCAGCCGGAGCCAGGGCCUGGUCGAGACAACUAUUUUUGAGGUAUCUGAGGCUACCCCACAGCACUCUCUGGCAUUGGUGAGCACCUGGGAGCAGUGGGCCCAGGGUGCGAGGGGGAUAAGGGCAUUGGGGAGCUGGGGCAGGGUGUACUGAAGUUCCCUUCGGUAGAGAGCUAGGUCUGUGGGAGAGGCACACCAACAAUGCAGGGCAGGGUGGUGGUGGGGGGGUAGGGGGGCAGUGAGAAUGGAGGGCCUGAGGACAGGGGCAAAGCCCAAAACACCAAUUUCCUUUCCUGGCACCAAGCCGAUUCCCGGCCGGAAAUGGACGAGGAGGGAUCGGGGAAAAGAGAAGUAUGAGUCCCCCCUUCUCCACCCUAUCCCUGCUUCCUUUCCUCCCCGCCAGGAGUAGCCUCUGUCCUCCCCCAACCCAGGGCCCAGCUCUCCAAGAAAGACCAGACUGGGCUACUAAGAAACCAUUACUCAGGCACCUGCCUGCCUAUGCCUGAUUUGUUCACUGCAGUGGAGGAAGCAGGGGCUCUGGGGAGGGUAAUGGCCCAGACAUUGAGAUUUUGUAUUUGCUCUAAUAGUGGCAGGAUGUGGAAAUGACCCCCCAACUGUUGGGGUGCCACCCAGGUGAGGUAUCUUGGUUGUAAACAGUUAUUACAGCCAGGAAUUUCUUUCUCGGCUGUGGUGUCAGAAUGGCAGACCUGAAAAACCUGCCGGGCCCGCCUCUGGGUGUGGGGGGUGCCCUCUACUGCUCUCCCGCUGCAGCUGGUCCCUGGGACAGGAUGGGGGCCAUGGGGUCACUGGUAGGGGGAGACCUGGGGUUGGUGUGGGGGUGUGCUGGGGAGGGGUUUGCUGGGAUCCCUUUCUCGCCAUCUGGGCGGGGAUGAGGCAGCUCCAGGCCCCAAGGCAAGUAUGCAGAGGGCAGGUGAGCGGAGGCAGAAGCUUAGGAACUGGGUGUGGGGGUGUGGGGCGUUGACUGUGUCUAGCCUGCCCAGUGACCCCAUGACUCAUACUCUAACUAUGUCCCCCCGAGGUCGGGCUGAUAGGGAGGAGUUGGGGUUCCUGUGUGGACCCUGUCUGGACUUCCAGGACGCUCUGAGAAAUUAGAGAAGAAAGGAUUGGCUGGGAUUACAGCCGUGAGCCACUGCACCCAGCCCCAAUCCACCACUUUUUAAGCAAACCCACACAAGUUGUGUUUUCUAUGAUACCUGUCUGUGAUUUUCGGAGCUGGGGGUUCCCCUACCCCCUUUUCCUGGCGUUAAGCUUUUCUUUUUAUACCAGUGGAUCUGGACCCAAGACAUUACCCACACUGGAAGGGGAUUUGUAUAAUAAAUGUGUAAACUG
rnacentral:lncRNA from 1 species